rnacentral:misc_RNA from 1 species
GAUGAAGAACGUAGCGAAAUGCGAUAAGUAAUGUGAAUUGCAGAAUUCAGUGAAUCAUCGAAUCUUUGAACGCACAUUGCGCCCGCCAGUAUUCUGGCGGGCAUGCCUGUUCGAGCGUCAUUUCAACCCUCAAGCCCAGCUUGGUGUUGGGGAUCGGCACAGGCGCCCUCGGGCGCCCGCCGUCCCCUAAAUCUAGUGGCGGUCCCGCUGCAGCCUCCUCUGCGUAGUAGUUUUCUCCUCGCAAGGGCAGCUCGGUGGCGACCUCGCCGUAAACCCCCAACUUCUGAAAGGUUGACCUCGAAUCAGGUAGGAAUACCCGCUGAACUUAAGCAUAUCAAUAAGCGGAGGA